rnacentral:rRNA from 1 species
UACGGGGGGGGCAAGCGUUGUUCGGAAUUACUGGGCGUAAAGGGCUCGUAGGCGGCCAACUAAGUCAGACGUGAAAUCCCUCGGCUUAACCGGGGAACUGCGUCUGAUACUGGAUGGCUUGAGUUUGGGAGAGGGAUGCGGAAUUCCAGGUGUAGCGGUGAAAUGCGUAGAUAUCUGGAGGAACACCGGUGGCGAAGGCGGCAUCCUGGACCAACACUGACGCUCAUGCACGAAAGCGUGGGGAGCAAACAGG